rnacentral:rRNA from 1 species
AACGCGAAGAACCUUACCUGGGCUUGACAUGUUCCUGACAACUGUGGAAACACAGUCUCCCUUCGGGGCAGGAUCACAGGUGGUGCAUGGCUGUCGUCAGCUCGUGUCGUGAGAUGUUGGGUUAAGUCCCGCAACGAGCGCAACCCCCGUCGCAUGUUGCCAGCAUUUAGUUGGGGACUCAUGCGAGACUGCCGGUGACAAACCGGAGGAAGGUGGGGAUGACGUCAAGUCAUCAUGCCCCUUAUGUCCAGGGCUACACACGUGCUACAUUGGCGCGUACAGAGGGCUGCGAUACCGCGAGGUGGAGCGAAUCCCUUAAAGCGCGUCUCGGUUCGGAUUGCAGGCUGAAACUCGCCUGCAUGAAGGCGGAGUUGCUAGUAAUCGCGGAUCAGCAUUGCCGCGGUGAAUACGUUCCCGGGCCUUGUA